GACGGAGGGUGCAAGCGUUGUUCGGAUUGACUGGGCGUAAAGGGGCGUGUAGGCGGUUGGUCAAGUCUGGUGUGAAAGCCCGGGGCUUAACCCCGGGCGUGCAGUGGAUACGGGCUGGCGUAGAGGCAGGCAGGGGAGAACGGAAUUCCCGGUGAUAGCGGUGGAAAUGCGUAGAUAUCAAGGAGGAACACCUGUGGCGAAAGCGGCUCACUGGACCAUAACUGACGCUGGAUGCACGAAA
rnacentral:rRNA from 1 species